AUUGAACGCUGGCGGCAUGCCUUACACAUGCAAGUCGAACGGUAACAGGUUAAGCUGACAAGUGGCGAACGGGUGAGUAAUAUAUCGGAACGUGCCCAGUCGUGGGGGAUAACGUAGCGAAAGCUACGCUAAUACCGCAUACGAUCGACGGAUGCAAGCGGGGGAUCGCAAGACACCGCGCGAUUGGAGCGGCCGAUAUCAGAUUAGUUUGUUGGUGAGGUAAAAGCUCACCAAGCCUGCGAUCUGUAGCUGGGCUGAGAGGACGAGCAGCCACACUGGAACUGAGACACGGUCCAGACUCCUACGGGAGGCAGCAGUGGGGAAUUUUGGACAAUGGACGCAAGUCUGAUCCAGCAAUGCCGCGUGCAGGACGAAGGCCUUCGGGUUGUAAACUGCUUUUGUACGGAACGAAACGGUGAGCUCUAAUACAGUUUGCUAAUGACGGUACCGUAAGAAUAAGCACCGGCUAACUACGUGCCAGCCGCCGCAGUAA
rnacentral:rRNA from 1 species